CCUACGGGGGGCAGCAGUGAGGAAUAUUGGUCAAUGGACGAGAGUCUGAACCAGCCAAGUAGCGUGAAGGAUGACUGCCCUAUGGGUUGUAAACUUCUUUUAUAAAGGAAUAAAACGAGGCACGUGUGCCUUUUUGCAUGUACUUUAUGAAUAAGGAUCGGCUAACUCCGUGCCAGCAGCCGCGGUAAUACGGAGGAUCCGAGCGUUAUCCGGAUUUAUUGGGUUUAAAGGGAGCGUAGAUGGGUUGUUAAGUCAGUUGUGAAAGUUUGCGGCUCAACCGUAAAAUUGCAAUUGAUACUGGCAGUCUAGAGUACAGUUGAGGUAGGCGGAAUUCGUGGUGUAGCGGUGAAAUGCUUAGAUAUCACGAAGAACCCCGAUUGCGAAGGCAGCUUACUAAACUGUGACUGACAUUGAUGCUCGAAAGUGUGGGUAUCAAACAGGAUUAGAUACCCGUGUAGUC
rnacentral:rRNA from 1 species